rnacentral:lncRNA from 1 species
CUUCCCUCCCCUUCUUUUUCUGGUUGUCUUUUCAUCAUCGGCGAGCGACGGCAAGCCAUCGGAUUUGAACUAAACAGGGCGGUCCCUGUUUUGAUUCUAUUUUCCUACUUGCCACCGACAACAAUCACCGUUGAAGGGGGCUAUGAGUUUUGCUGUGGAUUUUGCCAUUGUCGAGAACCACCAUGGGUGGCCGGCAUCAGCC